rnacentral:lncRNA from 1 species
CUCCUCAUCGGGCAGAUUCUCAUAAUAAGCUCCAGCAGCCCGGCGAAUCUCCUCCAUAUCUAUUUAUGCGUGUAAUAUUUAAGAGGAAGAAGAUUUAAGAGGAUAACGGAAGAGAGGUAGCUUAGAUCAACAAUUUUAACACUCCAAAGGGACUUUGGUCUGCAUCUGAUCACAAAGCUCUCAUGUUCGAUAGUGAUUUAUAGUACUGGCAAGUGACCACACAAUGAAGAAAUAUUAAAGAAUUGAAGUGAAUUUGGGUGUGGAUUAUCAUUGUGAAUUUGUAUGGGACCUUUGGUAUCUUCAAUAAUUUAACUUUCUCACACAACACAUGAAACACGACUCCCGUGUCAGAGUCCAUGCAAACCCAGCUACUACUAUGAGAGCCCCCCACAAAUUUGUUUUUGGAGACAAAGAUCUUUUCUUUUAUUAAUUCCACCGUACCCAUGAAUUAUUUAUUUCUCCUCAACCCUUCUCUAUCAACAACAAAAGAAAACAGUAGCUAUUAUUAAUGAGACAGUGUAUUACAAAUUUCUUCUGUUCGAUAGUGAUUUAUAUUACUGAUAAGUGACCACACAAUAAAGAAAUAUUAAAGAAUUGAAGUUAAUUUGGAUGAUUUGCAAGAUAUUUUACCUAUGUUAGGUUUUUUUGGUAUUAUGUUCCAACCGUGUUUUUAAAUUUUUUAUAUUUAUAAAAAAUAAAAAAAUUAUUAUUUUGAUUUAUUUAUAAGUAAAAAGCCUUUUAAAAAAUAAUUUAUAUCACAUUAUUAAACACUAUAUCACAUUAUUAAACACUAGAUGUUGUUGUGAACAAUAAAAAUUGAUGAAAAAAAAAAGUUAAAAAUAAUAACAAUAAAAAACCCAAACAAGCUUAUCUCUCCAUUCCACCGUCCCCAUCAAUUAUUUAUUUCUUUUCCACCCCUCUCUCUCUCUCUCUCUAUAUAUAUAUAUAACAAAAAAAACAGUAGCUUGAUGUUGUACAUGAUGGGACCUUUGCUAUCUUCAAUAAUUUAACUAUCUCACACAACGCAUAUGAAACACGACUCGUGUCAGAAUCUUGAAGAACUCUAAUGUGCUGAUGCAUACCUGCCCACGUCAUUAUAUUUUAUUAAUUUAUUAAUAUUUUUAUAAAAUAAAUUAUAAAAAAGAAUCCAAGAACAUAUCAUUAUUAUAAAAAAAGCUGACAAAGAUAAAAAUGCUUUUCAAGUCAUUCUCAAAUUUUGAAAAGUAAAAGGUUAAGUAUAUAAUUUUAGUGUGAAAAAAAAGUUAUACAUGAUGGGACCUUUGGUAUCUUCAAUAAUUUAAGUGUAGAGUAUCGUACAUGAUGGGACUUUUCGUACAUGAAACCCGAGUAUUGAAGGCCAUGUAAGUAUAGAAUUAGUUAUUUUUAAAUUGUUUUUUUAUUUAAAAAUAUAUUAAAAUAAUAAUUUUUUAUUAUUUUUAAAACCAACAUAUUAAAAUAAUUUAAAAAUAUACUAAAAAAACAAAUUUUACCCCAGCACCAUACAUAGUUUCAAUCGGCACCCAAGUAGAAUCACACACAAUUCAUUUUUAUUCUUGUAUUACCAAGUUAACUCUAACCCUUACAACCUUAUGUCUCCCUUUCCUCGUACUAGCCACCAGCAAAUACAACCUAUGAGAGGCCCCCAUAAAUUUGUUUUUGGAGACAGAUCUUUUCACCGUACCCAUGCAUUAUUUAUUUCUCCUCAACCUUCUCUAUCAACCACAAAAGAAAACAGUAGCUAUUAAAGAGACCACACAACUUUGGUAUCUUCAAUAAUUCCACGAUCCCACACCAAAGGAAACACGGUUCACGUAUCUAAGUCAUGAAAAGCCGAGUUGCAUUUUUCCAAGGAACAUGACAAACUGAAUCUAGCUAGGAUAGAGUUUUUGGUAAGUUAGCACCCUUAAAAAAAAUAUUUUGUAAAAUAACACAAGCAAAACAAUAUUUAGAAAUCUAAGUAUAAUUGAGAGUAUUAUAACUGGCAUGUGCCAUCAGUAAGGAAUGACUUCUGACCCUCCAUUAUUGUAGAUACAAUCUACAACAUGCAAGUCAUAAAUGUCAAUUGCAACUCACAUGUCACAUAAGGUAUCUACGACUUCUUUACCAGAGAUAUCAGGUUAUAAUUUAUUUUGUCAUCAUCUCUCUUUCCUGAAAAAACUGCAUUGCGCACAAUCACAAAUAAUCAAUUUCCAAGCAUCAAAAUACAAUUCACAUGAGCAGUACAUAACUAAGUUAUGAAUCAAUAUGUUGAGUCAUCCAAAUGUAACUAAGUUAUGAAUAUAGGUCCCCAUUUCUCCAUGAUGUCUUUCUUUUCUCAAAAGUUGGAGUGUUGAUAGUAAACAUCGAUGGCUUUUUCGCUCUUACUUACUUGAGUACUAUCUUGUGAUCUUGACCUCUAGGAAGGACUUGAUGUCAUCAUACUUCUUUGUCCUCCGCCCUUUAUCUCAAGGGUUGCCCAUUUUGCCCGGUAUUUCUCUUAGAAAGGGAAUCAUGGAGCCAGCCUUACCAUGCAUUUUUUUGAUUGCCCCCAAGCUUGAUCAUGCCCUCAAGUGUUCAAAUCGGGUUUAGGGAUGAGGCUAUGUGAAGGAAGGUUUGGCCAGGAGUUGUUUUCAUGCAGAAAUUUUGGAAUUUCAAAGCUAUUCCAGACACAGAAAUCAUUUUGACAUUGAUUCAAAGCAAACUCUUUCUAAAGAAAUUCAAGUGAUUCCUAUGGAGAGGUUUCCAGAAGUGAUGAAAACUUUUUGUUUUGCUUUUGGUGAAAAAUAUGAAGUGACAUUUGGUUGGUCAAAAAAGUUUAAGAUUUAAUUUGAGAGUUACUGAGAACCGGUCUUCAAAGCAUUCAUUUUAUUUGCAUGAAUAAUGAUUUUGUUUCGCAUGAGGAAGCACUGCCUACCGAUCCAGAUUGCUUGUCUUUGAUCAGAAAGGGCUUGAUUAGGCACGUAAUGUAGGCUCGGGCUAUUGGUUAUGAAGAAAAUGAUAUUUGCAAGCUCAAAAGGUGUUUAAGGGAUUUCAAGACUAAGGAUCACUUGUGCUUGUUUGCUGACCUUUUGUCUUUGGAAUGUCUUUCCAAAAUGGUCUAUCGUGCCCCCUAGUGUUGGGCUUGGGCUCUUUCCCUUUGUUUUUGUUUUUUUUUCAUUUGAUUUUGAGCAUCAUUGUAUUGGUUUUUUUUUUUUUGCUCAAAAUUUUUGGAUCCUUUGGAUUUUUUUUCAUGCCCCCAAGCUUUGUUUGGACACUUUUGAUGAUUGAGAAUUUUCUUUUAUGCCCUCCAGUGUUGUUUGGGCACUUUCAAUCAUUGAGGUUUUUUUUUUCUAUGUCUCUUGCACUUGCCCCCAGUGUAGUGUGUGAUCCUAGCCACAGCUAUUUCCAAAAAAUGUUACUAGGCUCAAAAGGGGACUACAAAUGAUAUAUUUUAGCCUUGUGAAAAGAUUAUCAAAGAUGGCCUUUCUUCAUUCCAAACUCAUGCAUUUAAGAUCGGUAAGUCUUGCUUUCAUGCGAGUAUGCAACGUGAUUUCUCAUUAUUCAUUUAAAUAAAACUCAACUUUGGAGUCAUUUCAUGGUGUUUUUGUUUUUUUAGGUGUAUUGUUACCUUUCCAAGGAAUCACCUGCAUUUCCAGAACUCGUUUGUUUCGGACAAAUAUCAACAUGAUUUUUGUUUUUGUACUAAACUUUGAAUUCCCAAAAAUCCUUGUGUGCGAUCAUGCAUAGUUUUGGAAGAAAGGGGAAACAUACCUAAAUAUUCUUGGUGUAAUGGUUUCAUGCUUAAAGGUUAUGUUCAAUGUGUUAUUUGCAUGAAACAACAACAAAAAUGAAGGCAUGUCAUGAACACAGGAAAACACAUGAUCUUAUUAACAAGAAAGGCUCAUUUGACAAUGAAAGUCUUAUGAAAUUUUAAGCCACAUUACCAACAAAAACCGGAACAGGUUGAAACAACAUCAAGAAGUUUUGCAGGCAUGAUCAAACAGAGGUAUUUUUUUUUUCAGAACAAGAAGAGGCUCCAUUCUGCACCGGUGGUGCAAUUCCCCUUCGGUUAGCCUUCCCACAAAAGCUUUUUGUAGAAAUGCUAGAUUGUGUUGAGGCAUCUUGACCAUGUUUGCCCCCAAUUUUUUCAGGCUGAGUCGUUGUUGGGUUUUGAACAAAGAUGAACGGUCGGUUGGAAGGAACUUUCAUAGAGUUAUUUUUCAGUAUUUGCUCGAGUAAGCUAGAGGCGAGUCACACAUGUCUUCAGAAACUCCAACUCUUCUUAAAAAUAGACAUUACGGCGAGCACACUCUUCAUCUUCCGUGUUUUUUUUCGUUCAAAAUCGAGUGUUAUAGACUCGUAGGGGACCUACUUUUCAUUCUGGUGCAUGCAUGAAAAAUGUAUGAACAUGUAAUCUAUAUGAUGAACUCGCCCUUCGAGGGGUGACAUAUGGUCGUAACUCUUGUAUGAUGAAACAAGAAUCGUGAUUCUUGCCCAAACUCUACAAUGAAAAUUUUCUGAGUGACGGCUAUUGGGUCACCCACAAGUCUUGAGUUCAAGAUGCUUCAAGAAGGGUUUGUCUUGAUGCAAAUAAAAAUAGCACAUACAACCUAAGGAGAGGUUCUAUUCAUUAUGUGAACAUGGGUAGGUUUUCUACCUGGUCUCAAAAGGGUCUCAUAUCUGCCCAGUGACGAUCUUCGUAAAGACAGUAUAGGGGCGUUGCAAGAAAUAGUUAAGGUACGUAUACCCACCAUUUCCAAGCAAGCACUCAGAUAUGAGUUCGGUUUUUCACGCAUCUGAACCCUGACCAAUAGUCAUAGGACAGAUCGCUAAUUCACCACCUAACUUAGAAGCUUGUGUGUGCUUUCAAAAAUAAAUACAGGUGAUGCAUGAAACAAUUCUAAAAAUGCAUGGAUAAAACAAAAAUAAAACAAGACAAAAAUGCAAAAACUUAAACACAUCAAAUAUACAAAGCUUAGUCCAAUAUUGUCAGAAACAGUACCUUCCCCAGUGGAGUCACCAUUCUGUCGCAUGUGAAAUCCGCGCGGCGUCGGCUGGCGAUCUUUUCGUUGUCGUUGCGUUUGCUUGACUUGAUUCGUUGGAGUCGCCACCUAGUAAUUUAUUAAAGGCUACUAGGAAACCGGAUGUACUAGUCUUGUCAGAGAUUCGCGGGUAAGGGACUGGUUGUGGUUAGGGAAGGUAUUAGCACCCCUAACGCACCCUACCUGAGGUAAGCUGCUUCGCGAAUUUGAUGUGUUUAAAGAAGUUUUAAUAAUUGUUUUUUCAUCGGAUAUUAGAAAUACAACUUACGUAUAAGUUAAUAAUUCUUGACUNNNNNNNNNNNNNNNNNNNNNNNNNNNNNNNNNNNNNNNNNNNNNNNNNNNNNNNNNNNNNNNNNNNNNNNNNNNNNNNNNNNNNNNNNNNNNNNNNNNNNNNNNNNNNNNNNNNNNNNNNNNNNNNNNNNNNNNNNNNNNNNNNNNNNNNNNNNNNNNNNNNNNNNNNNNNNNNNNNNNNNNNNNNNNNNNNCAUUAAAAAAUUUGAAAAUUACAAACAGCCCCCCAAAAUCCAUAACAGUGCUGGAAAACCUUCUGGAUCUGCAUGAACAGUGGCGGCGCGUCUUCCACGCGCCACCGCCACUGGCGGUGCGUGGGUUCACGCGCCGCCGCAAACAACGCCUGGAAAAUGGACGGAUCUGGUCGGCUAUCUUCUUCUCUUCCCUUCCCUGACGGUUGUGAGGAACACCAUUACCUGCAAUAAUAGAAAACGCACAACACAGUCGAUUUUAAUUUUUUGUUUUUGUUUUGCAGAUCUGCUUCUCUGGUUCAGUUUUUUUCUGCAGCUCAGUGUUUUCUUUUCGUUUCCCCUUCUUCUCUGUUUUCAGGCGGUGGGCUGUGUGACCAAGGGGCUGUCGGAGGUUGUGCUUCUGUUGCAUCUGGCCGGCGAAGAUGGAGGAGAAUGAGGUGGUCUGAUCGUCGGCUUCAGUUGUCUUUGCUGCUGUCGCCUGCGGCUGCUGGAGCUGCGGCGGAGAUGGGAGAGGUUGUGUUCGGUUGUCCGGGGAAGAAAAGGUAUUGUUGGGUCUGUCGGGUUAAAUUUGGAAGAAUGGUUGUUAAGAGGGAAGGGAAUCAAGAAUCCCAAAGGAAGGGGGCGGCGCGGGCUGGUUCUAAUGAGCUUUUGUUUUUUGUGCAGGGAGAGAAGGAAAGGAAAUGGCGUUUGGCAGGGGGAAUGUGGGUAUGGUCUGUGGGUAGCGACUGGAGGGGGCUGUGGGUUUGUUGCCGGCUGCUGAGGGGAAGAAGAAAAUCAAAGGGGAGGGGCGGCCGGCCUCUGUAAACAGGGAAAGGGAGGCUUGCGGCCGCCCCUGCUCUCUCUGGUUUUUUGCUCAAUGGGAAGGGGGGGCGCCGCUCCUUUAAAAAAAGAUAGGUUUAGGGUUAGGGUUUUUUUUUUUUGUAUUUUUCUGAUGUUUCAAAAUUGCUCCCUCCUCUUGAGUGUGUUGAAGGUUACUAUUUAUAGGCAAAAUGUUGCUUGGGCCUCAAAAUUGGUCCCUUAACUUCUUUUUUUUGUAAAUUUUGAUUUUUUCUUAUUUUUUUGGAUUUUUCUUAUCAACAUCGUCUCGAGUGAGGAAAAUCAGUGAUUUUUAAAAAUAACGCGUUAAAAGUUGAACGCGUUCCAAAUAUCUUUGAAAAUUUAAAUUCUUUUGAGACGAUACUAAAAAUGCUAAAAACGAUGCAAAUGCUAAAGACUAAUUAAGGUUUUCUCGUAACCAUAAUUGAUGUGGAUCAGCCCACGAACACCAAUAAGUAUCUAUUGCAUGUUCUAAAUGAGCCAAUUACAAGGUCCAAAAUAAAGACAUUGAAAGAAGUAUUAAAUAGACUAGUCUUGCAAGUUUCGGCCAAUGCAGAAAUUAGAGGUCCAUUGGAGCAUCAAGAGGAGGCCUUAGCACAUUUAAUUAAUUUGCAAGAGGUGUCAAAUUCCAUCUUAUUUGAAAAGAUAAAAUCGACAAAAAUAUAUUUAAAAAAAAAUCAUAGCAAAAAUUCAAAAAAAAAAAAACAGAAAAAAGAAAGCAAAACAUUGUGGAUUACUAUUGUAAUCCACAAUGAGUGUUGGAUGAACAAUGGUUUCCCCCAUAUCCUUUAGUUUUUGUUACUUCAUAAAGUUUAAUAAUAUGGUUUUUCUAUAAAACUAUUUUCUUAUUAACAAUAUAAGAAAAAAAUAGACUAUAAAAAAUCAAGUUUAAUUAAAAAAAAACCCCACCAAAUCCAUAAAUUGGGAUAACGUGGGUUCCCUUGACAAACCCGGAAACCACGCUAACCUCAUAGAAAGACAAAAGAAAAGGAAAAAAAUUACAAAAUUAAAUUCUUAACCAUUUCAAUAUUAAAAAAUAAAAUUGAUAAAAUUUUUUUUUUUUAAAUCAUAACAAAGAAACAAAAAGAAAAGGAAAAAAAAACCAUGUGUUCAAAAAAUAAAAACAAUGUGCGGAUUAGCAGCUUUAAAUUUUGAACUUACAUAAAACAAAAUAAAAAAAAAGUGAGAUUAUAUAACAAUUAUUCAUUAUUUGUUAGUAGAAAAGAAGGAAAAUUGAAACGGCAGAAUAAAAAGAAGUGUUGUAACAUUGUUUUACUUUUUACCAGUUCACUCGUGGGUCAACUCGCAUGAACAGGAUCCAGUCUCUUAGCUAUGCCUAAAGGAGACUCAACUCAUCUUUUAAAACCAUGACCAUAGGUCAUUAACCCACACAUGCAUUAGAUUUCAUUGUAUAAAAUUAAUAUUUAGUUGCUUAGGGGCUCCAAUUUUCAAUUAAAUUUCAUUGUAUAAAAUUAAUAUGUUGUUACUGAUAAAGAGAUUGUAUUCUCAAGUGCCAAAAAUCAGGGUUGAGUGUUUGAUAUUAAGAUACAAGCUGCUUGUUAAAAAUAAUUUUAAUACAUGAGAAUGUUUCACCCAACCUAGUUUGCAUUUGCCCCUCUAAAGCUGCUAUCAUUAAUGAAUAAUGAUUUAGUUGAUCUCAAACAACCUGCAUCUCCUGAUCAUCAUCACAGAGAUUGUAUUGGCCAAUUACUCCACAAUUCUCUUCACGAUUUGUCAUUGAUCCGGAUGUUGACCUGCUCUAAUACCACCUGACAAAACAUAUAGCGAAGAUAAAACUAGAGAAAAAUUUCCACCUGACACAGCCUGUAUCCCUUGAUCAUCGUCACGGAGAUGGUUAUCUAUCUUUAAGGUUACAAAUCAAACUGUAGAGAAAUCUAGAGAAAUUGUUCAGGUAUUUUUAUUGAAUCUAAAUAAUACUAUUAAUCUCUAUAAAAUAAAUUAGACAUCUCUAUUUAUAUUUAUUUAUAAACUGGUGCUUCUACUAAUGUUGUAUCUAUUGAUAUGGUAAGCAAGCUUAUCCUUAAGAUGGAAGCAUACCCUCAUCCCUACAAAUUGAUGUGGUAGGAAAAGAAGCAUGAGCAUAAAGUAACAAAUAGAUGUCUUGUUUUAUUUUUCUUUGGAAAACAAAUAGUGGUGUGAUAUAAUUCAUAUGGAUGCAUGUUAUUUGUUGUUUGGUGUUCAUGUAAUAUGAUAGGAAAGUUCAGCAUGAUGGCGUUAAGAAUAAUUAUUGUUUUAUGAUGCAGUAGUGAUUGUUUUAGUUUUUAAGCUUUUAAUGUAUUUGUUUGUAUUUUCAACAAGUCAAAAAUGUGUCUUAGUUAUUACUUUCUAGAUUCAAGUCAAAGUUAUUUAUUUUGAUCUUAAUUAUGUUAUUUUUGUUUUUCUCUAGGCUUGAAGGGUUGUUUCUAUCAGGAAAACAUGCAGAGAAUCUGCUCAAAUCAACACAAAGAAGGAAUAGCAGAAAAUCAUGGCACAGACUCUGCCAUCAACGCUAGAACGUAAAAUCUGCAGCUGUUUAUUGUAAUAGCAUAGUUUUAGCAUUACCAUUUAUUUGUUUCCAAAACUGAUUCCACGCUGCUGUAUAUAUUGCACACAAUAAUUAUCAAUAAGAUGAGGUGAAUUACUUAUUGAAACAACUGUUGUGUUGAAUCUCUAUAUGGUAUCAGAGCACUCAAAUUCUAACGAAUCACCGAUCAAAAACACCACAAUGUCAUCAUCCUCCAAUCAAAACCCAAAUUUCACCCUCAAUACCCAACCCUCUUCCACAGCAGACAAACCACUCAUUGCUUUCAAUAUCACAACAUAGAUCAAUGAAAAAUUAACCCCCUCCACCUUCCCUCAAUAGCGUGCUCAAUUUGAAGCAGUUCUUAUUGGUUACGAUCUACUCGACUAUGUCGAAGGCACACUUAUGUGUCCCUCCUCCUCUGGCACCGCCACUGAUGAGCUCUGCAAGCUCUACUGGGUCCGGCAGGACAAACUUAUUCUGAGUGCUAUUCUAGCCUCCACAUCAUCCUCAAUCACACCACUCAUUGCUACGGCAAAAACAUCUCAUGAAGCUUGGAAAAAGCUGAAAAAUCUAUAUGCUAGCCGAUCAAGAACUCGUGCUAUGCAGUUAAAGGAGGAACUCACCUUAAUCCAGCGUGGACACCGGUUAAUUACAAAAUAUCUCCAUGCUGUGAAGACCUUGGCUGAUGAAAUAGCCAUUAUUGAUCACUCAAUUUUAGAUGAUGACCUAACGCUUUAUGUAUUGAAUGGUUUAGGUUCAGAAUUUCAGGAGAUUGUAGCGCCUAUUCGAGCCUGAGAAUCACCACUGACAUUUGAGGAGUUGCAUGAUCUGCUGGUGGGACAGGAGGCAUAUCUGAGGCGUUUGGAAACAGCAACGCAGCACCUAGUAGCUCCCGCCAACUACACAAAGACGAAGCCUUCUAAUUAUAGAGGGAGUCAACAGUGGUCCCCCAAACAAAAUGACAACCCUUGGGGGUAUCAUGGUGUUCCAGCACAGGCAGAAAUUUUAGUGGCACUCAACGUGAUGGACGUCGUUUUAAUUCUGGCAGAGCCAACAACUUCAAUCGACGCUAUCAGCCCAAACGCCAAAUAUGUGACCAAUUUGGCCACGUUGCAAAGUCCUGUCCUCAGUUUCAUCCACAGAAUGUAUCUGUCAAUUGUGCCACAACCUUUACUGGGAAGAACAAUAAUUGGUUACUUGAUUCGGCCGCUUCAUAUAAUAUCACGGGUGAUCUUUCCAAUUUAUCUGUUCAUUCCGAAUAUGAUGGAACUAAUGAAGUAAUACUUGGUGAUGGCUCAGGUUUGACAGUCUCACAUAUUGGUUCUUUGAAUUUACAGUCUACCCACCAAAACUUUACACUCCAUGACACCCUCUAUGUUCCAAAUCUUCGCAAAAAUUUAAUUUUUGUUCAUCACUUUACCAAACAAAAUAAUGUUUUUGUUGAACUUCAUCCUUUUCGUUUUUUAUGAAGGACGCGACCACGGGGGCGAUUCUACUAAAAGGAGUGUGUAACAAUGGCAUCUAUAUCUUUCCGGAUUCAAUGGUGACGCCCCAAAAAGUUGCUAAUGUGCAUGAACGGACUUCCAUUGAUGGAUGGCACAAGCGUCUUGGGCAUCAUUCACUCAAAAUUGUUCAUCAUCUUGUUAAGAAUUUUUCCCUUCCCAUUUCAUCGCAAAAAAAUUUUUCAUCUUUAUGUCAUUCUUGUUCCAUUAAUAAAAUACAUCAACAAUCCUUUCAUGGCACCAGUCUUCAAAGUCAUGCACCCCUUGAACUUAUUUACACGGAUGUGUGGGGUCUAGCUAGUUAUACUGGAAUUGAUGGUUCAAGAUACUAUCUUAUUUUUGUGGAUCACUAUACAAAAUAUAUUUGGUUCUAUCCGAUGGCAACUAAAUCCGGUGUCUCUAAUAUUUUUCCACAAUUCAAAAAGUUUGUUGAAACCCGUUUUCAAAAACCAAUCAAAACACUCUACUCUGACAAUGGAGGUGAGUUUAUUGCUUUAAAAUCUUAUUUCUCACGUCAUGGCAUAACUCACUACACCACUGCUCCAUACACCCCCCAACAAAAUGGCGCUUCUGAAUGCCGUCACCGUCACAUUGUGGAAACGGGCCUUACACUACUUCAAGAUGCAAAUCUUGAUUUUUUGUACUGGCCCUAUGCUUUUCAGACAACAUCCUACCUCAUAAAUCGAUAGCCCACACCACUCCUGCAACACAAAUAACCUUUUGAAGCUCUUUUUGAUCAAACCCCAAGUUAUUUAAAAUUAAAAAAAAUUGGCUGCAUUUGUUAUCCCCUCACACAUCCCUAUAAUUCAAAUAAAAUGCAACCAAAAUCCAGAGCAUGCAUUUUUCUUGGUUAUUCAUCUACUCAAAAUGCAUACAAAUGUUUUGAUCCUCAUUUACAAAAAUUCUUUAUCUCUCGUCAUGUGCUGUUUGAUGAAACUCACUAUCAUUGCACCUCCUCACAAAUCCUGUCCAAACCGGUUAGUCCAGCCAGUCAUCAAGUCACUCCACUGCAUUUUGGUUUCCCGCAGAUCGUUGUGCCACCACCAAUUGUCUCCACAACACCAGCCUCAUCACUGUCUCCGGAAGACUCCCCUGCCAUUGUUGCAUCCUCCCCAGGUAAUUUCAAUACCCUUGCGUCUUCGUUAAAUUUGGAACAACACCCUCCUCUUCACCCUACUGAACUGGACCAUAGUCCAACUUCUCCUCUUCCACAUUCCAUUGUUUCUAGUCCUAUCCCACCCGUCCAUCCUCCUCCUCGCACCCGCACCAUGACCACACGCUCCAUGAACCAAAUCUUCAAACCUAAACAACUUCACAUAGUAACCAAACACCUUCUUCCCCAGACCUUAGAACCAACUUGUGUGAGCCAAACCAUUACUCAACUUCACUGGCGUGAGGCUAUGUCAAAUGAACUCAUUGCUCUAAUGAAACAUGGAACAUGGGACCUAAUGCCAUUACCUCCCAACUGUGCACCCGUGGGUUGCAAGUGGAUCUUUUGGGUAAAAAAGAAUGCAGAUGGCUCUGUCGAUAGAUUCAAAGCCCGCCUAGUUGCUAAGGGUUUUCAUCAACGUCCAGGGGAUGAUUAUACGGAAACGUUCAGCCCUGUAGUAAAACCAGCAAUUAUAAGAGUUGUAUUAUCUAUUGCAGUCAUGCGUGGCUGGGAAUUACAUCAAAUGGAUGUCAACAAUGCAUUUCUUAAUGGUGCAUUAACUGAAACUGUCUUCAUGGUACAGCCUCCGGGGUUUAGAGAUUUGUCCAAACCUAACCAUGUCUGCAGGUUGAACAAGGCCAUCUAUGGCCUUAAACAAGCACCUAGAACUUGGUAUACAGCACUCAAAACUGCUAUUCUUCAGAUGGGAUUCCACACCUCCAAGGCAGACUCUUCUCUAUUCAUUUACAACAAUGAAUCCAAUCUCUGCUACUUACUGGUUUAUGUUGAUGAUCUUGUCAUAACAGGGAACAAUCCCACGCUUUUAACCACCUUCACUCAGCAGCUAAGAGAUAUGUUUUCUCUCAAUGACAUGGGACCUCUUCACUUUUUUCUGGGUGUUGAAGUCAUUCCCACCAAGGUCGGCUUAUUCCUCACACAACAUAAAUAUGUUCGUGAGCUUCUCGCUAAUAGCAACAUGAGUGGUGCCAAAUAUAUCUCCACGCCUCUGUCCACAUCACAGUCACUUCAACUGGUUGAUGGCACCGUUGCUGUGGAUAGCUCAGAAUUUUGCCGCAUUAUGGGCAGCCUUCAAUACCUCUCUUUGACGUGACCAGAUAUUUCAUUUUGCAGUUAACAAACUCUCUCAAUUUAUGCACAAGCCCACUACAACUCACUGGACAGCAACCAAACGGCUUCUAUGAUACUUAAAACAAACCAUUUUCUAUGGUAUUCAGGUUCACAGAGCUAGACCUUCAGUGUUACACACAUAUUCUGAUGCCGAUUGGGCUGGGAAUAUGGAUGACCGCACGUCGACGUCUGCAUAUAUCAGUUUCUUAGGACCUAAUCCCAUUUCAUGGACAUCCAAGAAACAAAGAGCAGUUGCACGCUCCUCAACGGAGGCUGAAUACCGGGCACUGGCUAAUGCGGCCUCAGAAACAAUUUGGUUGUCCACUCUCUUCAAAGAACUUGCAUUUCCAAUCCAAGACUCUCCUCUGCUGUUAUGUGAUAAUCUAGGAGCCACACACCUCAGCUUCAAUCCAGUGAACCAUUCACGCAUGAAACAUAUUCAAAUUGAUCUCCACUUUGUACGAGAUUUGGUGCAACAAGGAAGUCUUCAGGUUAGACAUGUACACACACAAGACCAACUCGCAGAUCUGUUAACCAAGCCACUGUCCAAACAACGAACGACUGUGUUACGUAACAAGAUUGGUCUUGCCGAUGGAAGCUCAAUCUUGCGGAGGCGUAGCAGGGAAACAUGUAGAGAAUCUGCUCAAAUCAACACAAAGAAGGAAUAGCAAAAAAUCAUGUCACAGACUCUGCCAUCAACGCUAUAUUUGGAACGUAAAAUCUGCAGCUGUAUAUUGUAAUAGCACAGUUUUAGCAUUACCAUUUAUUUAUUUCCAAAACUGAUUCCACGCUGCUGUAUAUAUUGCACACAAUAAUUAUCAAUAAGAUGAGGUGAAUUACUUAUUGAAACAACUGUUGUGUUGAGUCUCUAUAGUUUCAAGGGUAUAAUGAUUAUUUGUACUGUGUACUAAAUAUCUUUCGUGAAAAUUUGAGUAAAAAUCUUUAACUUGAUCUUUUGACACCCUAUUCAGUUUUAUAUCUCGAGUUAUAAAAUUUAAACUCAUAACUUUAUAUCUCGAAAGUGGUGAGCAAAUAUAUAUCUUUAAAGUGAUGGGUUAUUUGUAUCUAUAUCUCUGUGAUUUUGUACCUUAAAGAGGCGAGCAUAAACCAUUAUUUAUGUGAGUGAAUUGUUUCUAGUCUAUAAUCCGAUUAUCUUUGGUAUCAUAAGCUGCUUCACCUCUAACUUCUUUCUAUUUACAACAUUACUAAUAUAAUAUUUUCCGUCAGUAAUUCCAUUAUUAUUUACUAAUUUUCUCAUAGUGAAUUAAAGCUUCUUCUUUUAUAUUUUUUUUACAAGACAAUAGUUGAUCUCUGUCCAGGUUCUGUUGAUUGUGUUGUUAUACUUCUUGUUUCAUGUUGUUUUGAUCAACCUUUAUAUAUUAAGAUUUUUAAUGUGCAGCUUAUGUUAAUGUUAUUCGAUGAAAACCCUUAGAAUAAAACCAUUCUAGUAUAUCAAGAAUCUGCAAAUAGAUGAGGUUUACCAACGUAGCAAUACACAAACUUUAAGGAUUUGUUUCCACACCCAACUAAUAGUCGAGCACUUUUAGUCCAAGAUUAGCAUGGCAUUUAAGAUGGUAGAAGUAGCAGCAGCUUUAAACUUUGAAUUUCCAUAAAACAAUUGUUUUACGGUGAGAUUAUAUAACUUUAUGAAGCAUUAACAUUAAAAUAAAUAGAAAUAAAAAGAAUGAGUAUCAAACUCAAAACAAAUACAAACCAGAGGACACAACUGAAUUCUUAAAGGCCUGACACAAAUACGAAAGUUUAGGAAAAAAAAAAAAGGUAAGAGAAAAAAAACUCAUCGCCGCCCGACUUGCCCAACACGCCACCUUAAAAGUUGCGCCACAACCCUGCGCUUCAGAUGAGAUGGCGACCGGAUUUUUUUUUUCCAUCAGAAUUGUCUUCACGCGCCUCUAUAAGAAAAGCUUGGAGGACUUUGAAGUGCUGAUGCAUACAUGGCUUACGUCAUCAUAUUUUAUUCAUUUAUUAAUGUUUUUAUACGACAAAUUAUGAAAAGGGGUACAAGGACAUAUCAUUAUUAUAAAAAAAGCGAUGAGACAAAGAUAAAAAUGCCUUUCAAGUCAUUCUUAAAUUUUGAAAAGUAAAAGGAUAAGUAUAUAAUUUUAGUGCGCAAAAAAAAAUAUUGUACAUGAUGGGACCUUUGGUAUCUUCAAUAACUUGGGUGUGGAUUAUCAUUGUGUUCCAAACUUCUUCAAAACUUUGCUAUCGUACAUGAUGGGACCUUUGGUAUCUUCAAUAAUUUAACUAUCUCACACAACACCUAAAACACGACUCCCGUGUCAGAAUCUUGAAGAACUCUGAUGUGCUGAUGCAUACCUGCCCACGUCAUUAUAUUUUAUUGUAUCAGAGUCCAUGCAAACCCAGCUAGUACUAUGAGAGGCCCCCACAAAUUUGUUUUUGGAGACAAAGAUCUUUUCUUUUAUUCUACCGUACCCAUCAAUAAUUUAUUUCUCCUCAACCCUUCUCUAUCGACACAGCGAAGAAAUAUUAAAGAAUUGAUGUGAAGUUGGGUGUGGAAACUUUGGUAUCUUCAAUAAUUCCACGAUCCCACACCAAAGGAAACACGGUUCACGCAUCAAAGUCAUGAAAAGCCAUGUUGGAGUUGCAUUUUUGCAAGGAACAUGACAAAACUGAAUCGAGCCAGGAUAGAGUUUUUGGUAAGUGAGCACCCUUAAAAAAAUAUAUAUUUUGUAAAAUAACAUAAUAUUUAGAAAUCUAAUAUAAUUGAGAGUGUUAUAAUUGGCAUGUGUGUCCGUUAGUCACAAAUGCCUUCUGAACCUCCAUUAUUGCAUAUACAUUCUACAACAUGCAAGUCGUAGAUGUCAAUCGCAACUUGCGUAUUGCAAAAGGUAUCUUCGACUCCUUUCACAUAAACAUCCUGUGAUAGUUUAAUUUGUCAUCAUCUCUCUUUCCUAAAAAAGCUGCAAUGUGCACAAUCAUAAAUAAUGAAUUUCCAAACAUCAAAAUACAAUUCACAUGAGCAGUACAUAACCAAGUUAUGAAUCAAUAUGUUGAGUCAUCCAAAUGUAACUAAGUUAAUAUCAAAAAAUAAUUUAAAAUAAAAUAAAAUAUAAAUCAAGCUCUAGAUCGUAAGGAUUUUGAAUUGACCUGCAAGAUAUUAUUUUUAUGUUAAGCCAUGUUUAAUAUUAUGUUCCAAGCCUUUACAACUCAUCCUUGUUGUUUUAAAAUUAGGUCAAAAUGUGUUUUACUAUUCACUCUUGGUAUUUAGGGUAAAUGGACUCAACAUGGAUCAUUACAUUUUAUAUUAAAAGUAUUAGUUGUUUCUUUUGAUUUUAAAUAAAAAAACAAGUCUUAAAAAUAUCUAAGUCCAAUAUUGCCUAAAGUAUGUGUGCCACUAGAUCCCACCACUAAUGUGUGUUUUGGUGGGAGGUGUGGUGGUUUUUUUUCAUUGAAAAACAUAUAUUCUUUGCUUUUAGGAGGUGUUGUGUGUGCUUUAAAAGGGUUGUACCUUUGAAAAAAAACCUCCCACCCAAACACUCCCUAAGUAGAUUAACCCACAAUAGUUAAUGCUUGGACAUUUUAGGAUCAGGGUACAAAACCCUUAUUCAGUAAAAAUUACGAGUAGACCCUGGUACUAUAGGAUAAAUGAACUUGAACGGGGCAUUAUCCAUAGAGCACCGUUGCAUAAACAAAUUGUUUGGCGACAUCUCAUCCUAGGAUUUGAACUGGGUUUAAUGAACCUAACAUAGACCCGUUCAAUUAUUCACUAGCAUGGCUUUAUAAACUAUUAAUAAUCACGGGUCAUGAUCUGGAGUAAAUAGGGAUAUAAAUAUCAAUUCCCCAAACAAAUUGUUUGGCGACAUCUCAUCCUAGGAUUUGAACUGGGUUUAAUGAACCUAACAUAGACCCGUUCAAUUAUUCACUAGCAUGGCUUUAUAAACUAUUAAUAAUCACGGGUCAUGAUCUGGAGUAAAUAGGGAUAUAAAUAUCAAUUCCCCAAACAAAUUGGAAGUAACAAAAAUAACUAGAACUUUAGAACGGAUAGGAAUAAAACCUACAGUAGGUUUAACUCAUUACAAUAGAUCCAUGUGGAUACACCAUCGGUAGAUUGGGCAUAAUAGACUAUUAGGGAUAAAAGACAAGUAGCAAUGGAAUUUACUAUAGGUACGAUACUUUAGGGUGGUAAUACAUUUCCUUUAACGUAACAAGUACCCCUUAUCUUAGAACUCUAAAAACUAAUUAGGGUUUUGUCGUAACCAUAAUUAAUGUGGAUCAGCCCACGAACACCAGUAAGUAUCUAUUGCAUGUUUUAAAUGGGCCAAUUACAAGGUCCAAAAUAAAGGCAUUGAAAGAAGUAUUAAAUAGACUAGUCUUGCAAGUUUCGGCCAAUGCAGAAAUUAGAGGUCCAUUGGAGCAUCGAGAGGAGGCCUUAGCACAUUUAAUUAUUUUGCAAGAGGGGUCAAAUCCCACCAUAUUUGAAAAGAUAAAAUCGACAAAAAUAGAUUUGAAAAAAAAUCAUAGCAAAAAUUCAAAAAAAAAAAAAAAACAGAAAAAAGAAAGCAAAACAUUGUGGAUUACUAUUGUAAUCCACAAUGAGUGUUGGAUGAACAAUGGUUUUCCCCAUAUCCUUUAGUUUUUGUUACUUCAUAAAGUUUAAUAAUAUGGUUUUUCUAUAAAACUAUUUUCUUAUUAACAAUAUAAGAAAAAAAUAGACUAUAAAAAAUCAAGUUUAAUUAAAAAAAAACGCCACCAAAUCCAUAAAUUGGGAUAACGUGGGUUCCCUUGACAAACCCGGAAACCACGCUAACCUCAUAGAAAGACAAAAGAAAAGAAAAAAAAUUACAAAAUUAAAUUCUUAACCAUUUCAAUAUUAAAAAAUAAAAUUGAUAAAAAUAUAUAUUUUUUAAAUCAUAACAAAGAAACAAAAAGAAAAGGAAAAAAAAAACUAUGUGUUCAAAAAAUAAAAACAAUGUGCGGAUUAGCAGCUUUAAAUUUUGAACUUACAUAAAACAAAAUAAAAAAAAAGUGAGAUUAUAUAACAAUUAUUCAUUAUUUGUUAGUAGAAAAGAAGGAAAAUUGAAACGGCAGAAUAAAAAGAAGUGUUGUAACAUUGUUUUACUUUUUACCGGUUCACUCGUGGGUCAACUCGCAUGAACAGGAUCCAGUCUCUUAGCUAUGCCUAAAGGAGACUCAACUCAUCUUUUAAAACCAUGACCAUAGGUCAUUAACCCACACAUGCAUUAGAUUUCAUUGUAUAAAAUUAAUAUUUAGUUGCUUAGGAGCUCCAAUUUUCAAUUAAAUUUCAUUGUAUAAAAUUAAUAUGUUGUUACUGUUAAAGAGAUUGUAUUCUCAAGUGCCGAAAAUCAGGGUUGAGUGUUUUAUAUUAAGAUACAAGCUGCUUGUUAAAAAUAAUUUUAAUACAUGAGAAUGAUUUUUUUAAAAAUAAAUUUAACAUGAACAAAUAAAAAUUAUUAAAAAACAUUAAAAAAUAUAAAUUUAAUAUUUUUUCCAAGUCAAAAUAAACACAAUAAGUAUCUCAUUUUAUCGUGCAGUCAUGUCUAUAUCUCUAUUUAGAGUUAAUCACUUGUGAUGGUGCUCAAUCAUUUUACUACAAAAGCGUCAUUAACUACACGAUUUUACACAAAAACAACAUAAGAUUAAAGUAACAAGUUCUCUCUGGAGAUCAUGAGUUCGAGUCUCAAAAAUCUCAGGAUUAUUGAAGGUUUUUAUGGUCGUUAAUUUUAAGGCCUGUGGGAUUAGUCGAGGUGCGUGUAAGCUAACCCGGACACCUACAUUAUCAAAAAAAAAAAAGAAGUAACAAGUUCUCAAUGCCCUCCAAAAGCACACAUGAGACUAUGGAGAUCGAAUGCAUGAGAAUACAAUUGCCACAAAAAAGAUACAGCUCUAUAUAAAGUAACUUGAGUUUAUUCUCUACUGGAUCUGAGCUCACUUGAAGAGUUUCCAGUAAAUUUUCAGUCAUUUCCUCUUACCUCAUCGCUAAUUAUAUAUUCUACUAUUGGAUGCAUUUGACUGGUGAUAAAAUGCAUCAUUGGUUUCUUUCACAUAAUGCUACAGUUAGAUCUUGAUAAACCAUCACCAUCACCACCAUCACCAUCACCAUCACCAUCACCCAAGAUCACUAUUUAUGCCCGCAACUAGCAGUCCCUUUUUAAGGAUUUUAAGCACCUUGGUUCGCUAUACAUACACCCUUUUCUUUUUCAAGCUGCAGCCGCCACUCAAAGCUCAUCUACAACUAUGCCCAGUCAAGAAUUGGGGCCUCACAAUCACUAGCCAAUAUGUGCAAUAUGCUUUUCUCUCAUGCCUUUCUUCGUCUCAUGCCUUUUUAGAUAUUCUGGUGUCCUAGGCGUAAAGGAACCACACCAAUCCAUCCCACAAAUUUGCUUUUGGAGACAAGAUCAUCCUUUCUUUUAUUCCACCGUACCCAUCAAUAAUUUAUUUCUCCUCGACCCUUCUCUAUCAACCAAAAAAAAAAAAACUACUAUUAAAGAGACCACACAACGAAAAAAUAUUAAAGAAUUGAAGUGAAGUUGUAUCUUCAAUAAUUCCAUUAUCUCACACCGCAUAAAACACGGUUCACGUAUCAAAGUCAUGAAAAGCCGAGUUGCAUUUUUCCAAGGAACAUGACAAAACUGAAUCUAGCCAGGAUAGAGUUUUUCCUUUUUACCAGUUCACUCGUAAAACUGAACCCGACACCUGAAUGUUUUACUUUUUACCAGUUCACUCGUGGGUCAAAUCGCAUGAACAGGAUCCAGUCUCUUAGCUAUGCCUAAACACUACUAAAAACAGGGGCAUUAGCAUCUGAAUUUAGCAACGGAUAAUUCCGUUGCUAAAUUCAGUAACAGAUUUGCAACGGAUUAAAUAUAUAUUAUUUUUUUAAUAUUAGCAACAGACUUUAGCAACGGAAAAUCCGUUGCUAAAAACAACAUAAAGUUUACAACGGAUUAUCUGUUGCUAAUUUAAAAAAUAAUUAUUUAAAUAUUAAUAUAAAAUUAAAAUUAUAUAGACCGUUGAUUAUUUUUGAUAUAAUAAAAUCACAACCGUUUAAUUUUGCCCCCCUACUAAUUCAACACCUGCCAACCCCCCCUACUAAUUCAACACCUGCCCCCCGUUUCUAAACAAAGAAAAAACCAACAGUUGACAAUUAAUUAAUUCCCAGUCUCCUUCGUCCCUAACACCCCCCCCACGGUUUCUAAAUAGAGAAAACAAAACCAACAGUUGAAAACACAGUUGGGUUAAUUUUUUUUCAAAAUUAAACAAAACCAAUAACUGAUUUUCCUUUUGUCCCAAACUUUUCAUCUUCUUCUCAUUCGUUUUCAGCAUUGUUAAUUUUUUUUCCUUCAUCUUCUUCUCCUUCAUCUUAACAGUUUCAAUCUUUCUCUGUAAACCACCAAAAACACAGACCCAUGGCAACAUCGCACCAGACCCAUCAUUAUCACCCUUUCUCUUUGUAAACGGGUUGGGUUUUGCACUCUCUUCUUCAAUAAAUCAGGUAAUUAAUUUAGGAUUUAUAUUUUUCUCCGUUGCAAUUUAACUUACACUAACAAGUUUUAACCUAACUUUCACAAUCUCAGGUGUUGUUCUGUCGUGUAGAUUCAUCUCGCUCAUCUAUAACUCAAGAACACAGGUAACAAUUUUUUUUUGUCGAUACUUUGAAUAAUGGUUUUAGGCUAUUAAUUCGAUAAUAUAAGGUUUAUGAAAUGUUUUUACCAUGAUCUAUAACCUAAUUAUGCAUGUUUAAUUGAAAAUUUAUCAAAACCCCCAAUUUAAUUUUUAGGGUUACGGUUCAUAAAUUGAAUGAUUUUAGGCAACUGGACCAAUGCUGGUAAUUCAUGUGUCUGGAAGAGAGUGAUUGAUGGAAAUUAUGCAUGUUUAAUUGAAAAUUUAUCAAAACCCCCAAUUUAAUUUUUAACAAGUAGUCUUAUUGAUGCUGGGUGUUCUUUAGGAGCAAGGUGGCUGGUUGAAUUGAGUGUUAGCUUUGCAGUUUUUUUGUGUAAUUUAUUUUUCAUGCCUUGAGAGAUCCUUUCCCACCUAAUUGCCAUGGAAAAAUCACUCACAUCCGCAAAGGUCAGAUUGUUUGCUUCCUUGCAAUCUCUUAAACUGUGCUUUUUUAUUUAUUAGUUUCAAGAAAAUUAAAUAAAUAAAUCUCUAAACUUUGAUUGCAGGGAGGAGAUUUGUGAAGCCAUCAAAUUUUACGAAGGAGAUGGAUGCUGAUAGGGUAUGAUUGCUCAAUUUUGUAAACUGUUACUGCUUGAUAAUAUUGUUAAAAGUCAAUUAGCAGAUGCUCUGACUUGCAUUGGAAAUUUUGUAUUUCCUUACUGAUAGAUUACUAUAUUUAUUGAUUUGAAAACCAGUGUACCUGUAAGGGUGAAGCAGGUACUACAGAUUUGUUUUGUAUUCACAGCCUCUUUAAGAUGCACUUUGAUUUAUUGAAGAGUUUAAAACCCAGAUAAACUUGUUCUUUGGGUGAUAAUUAUGCAUCUAUUACUGAUUACCAACGCUCUUAUUACAGUGGGCGCUGAGUAUGAGCUGACGCUAUAACUGGUCCAGUUUUGUUAGAUUUGGUGGCUGGUUCAGCUAUCCACUUUAUGCAGUUCUGGAGAAAUUUUCUGUGUGUUUUUGUCAUCUGCUUUUUUUUAAUAUAGUUUUUUCCAGCUGCAGAAUUUGAUUAUUGUGGAGAUGUAAGGGAUGGUUAUUUUCCCAUAUGUGGAGAUUAUACUGUGCAACUGCUCUUAUAGAAUCCAAGCCAGUCCUCUGCUCCUUCUUCAUCUUUUAUUCCUUUUAUCUGUUUUUUUUUAAUGAGGAUGUGCAAGAAUUGCUGUAUUUUUUUAACUCAAAUAGUGAUCGAAGUUCAGCCCAAGUCCCAAUGCAAAUCACUGCUAGCAAUGGUAUGGCUAGUGUAAAUAACUCACUCACCACAGCAUCUACAACCACGUCUGCCAGCACUAUUAUGGGGCUUCUCCACCAAAAUUCAAUGAAUAAUGCAAGCAGUCCCUAUGGAGGAAACUCUGUUCAGAUUCAAUCUCCUGGUUACUCCACCUUGACCACUAUAUCCUGGUUCAUUUUGUGUAGAUCCAAAAUAUCAUGGUUCGUCUCCGCAACCAGCACCAUGAUUGUAUCUUUUGUUGUUUUUUUUUAUUGUAUUUCAACUUAUUUGUAUUAAUUCAAGUUUAACUAAAUUUUUAUAAUAUGAAUAUUAUUUUUAUUCCAUUUUUUAUUAGUGAUACAAUUAUUUUUAAUAUUAAUUUAUGUUGGUUAUAUAUAUUCCACAAUUUUUAAAAUAUCCAUAAAUAAUUAAUUAAACAAAUUAAAAGUCAUUUUGAUAAAUAAAUAAAAAAUUAAUUUAUUAAAAAUAAUAUAGUCAGCAACGGAUAAUCCGUUGCUGAUUGUAAAUAAUUCAUCAAUCAGCAACGGAUAAUCCGUUGCUGAUUCACAAAACCAGCAACGGAUUUUCCGUUGCUAAAUUAGCAACGGAAAAUCCGUUGCUAAUUUUAGCAAUGGAAUUUCCGUUGCUAAAAAAUCAGCAACGACAAAUUUGCAUAUGAUAUUUGUCGUUGCUGAUUCCGUUGCUAAAUUGUUUUAGCAACGGAUUUUAAUGUUAUUUGCAACGGAUUAGUUAGUUGCUAAUUACUAUAUUUUUUAGUAGUGAAAGGAGACUCGACUCAUCUUUUAAAACCAUGACCAUAGGUCAUUAACCCACACAUGCAUUAGAUUUCAUAGUAUAAAAUUAAUAUUUAGUUGCUUAGGGGCUCCAAUUUUCAAUUAAAUUUCAUUGUAUAAAAUUAAUAUGUUGUUACUGAUAAAGAGAUUGUAUUCUCAAGUGCCAAAAAUCAGGGUUGAGUGUUUGAUAUUAAAAUACAAGCUGCUUGUUAAAAAUAAUUUUAAUACAUGAGAAUGUUUCACCCAACCUAGUUUGCAUUUGCCCCUCUAAAGCUGCUAUCAUUAAUGAAUAAUGAUUUAGUUGAUCUCAAACAACCUGCAUCUCCUGAUCAUCAUCAUAGAGAUUGUAUUGGCCAACUACUCCACAAUUCUCUUCACGAUUUGCCUUUGAUCCGGAUGUUGACCUGCUCUAAUACCACCUGACACAACAUAUAGCGAAGAUAAAACUAGAGAAAAAUUUCCACCUGACACAGCCUGUAUCCCUUGAUCAUCGUCAUGGAGAUGGUUCUCUAGCUUUAAGGUUACAAAUCAAACUGUAGAGAAAUCUAGAGAAAUUUUUCAGGUAUUUUUAUUGAAUCUAAAUAAUACUAUUAAUCUCUAUAAAAUAAAUUAGACAUCUCUUAUUUUAUUUAUUUAUAAAUUGGUGCUUCUACUAAUGUUGUAUCUACUGAUAUGGUAAGCAAUCUCAACCUUAAGAUGGAAGCAUAUCCUCAUCCCUACAAAUUGAGAUGGUAGGAAAAGAAGCAUGAACAUAAAGUAACAAAUAGAUGUCUUGUUUUAUUUUUCUUUGGAAAACAAAUAGUGGUGUGAUAUAAUUCAUAUGGAUGCAUGUUAUUUGUUGUUUGGUCAUUCAUGUAAUAUGAUAGGAAAGUUCAGCAUGAUGGCGUUAAGAAUAAUUAUUCUUUUAUGAUGUAGUAGUGAUUGUUUUAGUUUUUAAAUUUUUUAUGUAUUUGUUUAUAUUUUCAACAAGUCAAAAAUAUGUGUUAGUUAUUAUUUGUCUAGAUUCAAGUCAAAGUUAUUUAUUUUGAUCUCAAUUAUGUCAUUUUUGUUUUUCUCUAAAUUUGGAGGGUUGUUUCAAGGAUAUAAUGAUCAUUUGUACUGUGUACUAAACAUAUUUGGUGAAAAUUUGAGUAAAAGUCUUUAACUUUAUCUUUUGACACCCUAUUCAAUUUUAUAUCUCCCUGCGAGUUAUAAAAUUUAAACUCAUAACUUUAUAUCUCUAUGAUUUUGUACCUUUAAAAGGUGAGUAUAGACCAUUAUUUAUGUGAGUGAAUUGUUGCUACUCUUUAAUCCUAUUAUCUUUGGUAUCAUAAGCUGCUUCCACCUCUAACUUCUCCAUAUUUACAACAUUACUAAUAUAAUAUUUUCCGUCAGUAAUUCCAUUAUUAUUUGCUAAUUUUCUGAUAGCGAAUUAAAGCUUCUUCUUAUAUAUUUUUUUUUACAAGACAAUAGUUGAUCUCUGUCCAGGUUCUGUUGAUUGUGUUGUUAUACUUCUAGUUUCAUGUUGUUUUGAUCAACCUUUAUAUAUUAAGAUUUUUAAUGUGCAGCUUAUGUUAAUGUUAUUCGAUGAAAACCCUUAGAAUAAAACCAUUCUAGUAUAUCAAGAAUCUGCAAAUGGAUGAGGUUUACCAACGUAGCAAUACACAAACUUCAAGGAUUUGUUUCCACACCCAACUAAUAGUCGAGCACUUUUAGUCCAAGAUUAGCAUGGCAUUUAAGAUGGUAGAAGUAGCAGCAGCUUUAAACUUUGAAUUUACAUAAAACAAUUACGGUGAGAUUAUAUAACUAUUAUUCAUUAUUUGUUAGUAGAAAAGUAGGAAUUCAAACGACAUAAUGAAAAAAUAGGGGUGCUAUGCCUAGAGGAACUCAUCAUUGUUUUACUUUUGAUCGGUUCACUCCUGAGUCAACUCGUUUGAUUCAUGAAUCAUGGACUGGAUCCAGCCUCUCGCCUAUGCCUAGAGGAACUCAUCUUUUAAAACAUUAAAUUUCGAGUCAAACAUAAUUUUAAAAUAUACGUACCACGAUAAUGUCUCGCUUCAUCCGGAAGCCAUGUGUAUAUGAGUUAGUCUUGCUUGAAAUGAAAUCAGUUGUGAUGGUGCUCAAUGAUUUUACUAGAAAAGCUUCAUUAACCACAUGAUAUUUUACACAAAAGCAGCUUAAGAUUAAACAAGUUCUCAAUGCCCUCCAAAAGUUCACAUGAGACUAUGGAGAUCGAAUGCAUGAGAAUACAAUUAUUGCCACAAACAAGAUACAGCAAUAUAAAGUAACUUGAGCUUAUUCUCUACCGGAUCUGAGCCCACUUGAAGAGUUUCCAGUAAAUUUUCAGUCAUUUCCUCUUACCUCAUCGGCAAUAUUUAUUGUACGAUUGGAUGCAUUUGGCUGGUGAUAAAAUGCAUCAUUGGUUUCUUUCACAUAAUGCUACAGUUAGAUUUUGAUGAACCUUCACCAUCACCAAUACCAUCACCAAUAUCAGUACUUAUGCCUUCAAGAUCACUACUAGUUAUGCCUGCAACUUGCAGUCCCUUUUUAAGGAUGUUAAGCACCUUGGUUCGCUUCUGAAAUAAAAGAUAAUACGCAGAUAUAUUAGAGGCUGAGUUCAUAUUUUUAUAAGCAAACAUAUUUUUAUACUUAAUAUAGUAUUUAUUUAUCAAUUAGAUGGAGAGAAUAUUUGUAUUAAUGAAAAUAUGAGGAUUCCACUAGUUAUUUUGAAGCCAGUCUUGAAAAUAUAAUUAAUCUCUUCAUCCAGAGAAUUAAAGAACUUAAAUCAAUACGAAGAAUGGGAAUUCAAAUGUAAAGCAGAGAAGAAAUAUAAUAAUAAAACAAAACCCAAUGUUGAAGGAAACUCCAUACGUAAUGCUCCAUAAACAAUGAGUUAUCAGUGAAUUUUGGCAAAUGUAUAGUAAUAAAUAGUAAAAAUAUCUUAUUGUUUUAGUUUCUAAAAUUAAUUACCUGAAUGGGGGCCGCUUGUGUCGCGCUCCUGCUUCGACAAAGUAAAGUAUAGUUAUCGCAGAAGAUGUGCCCAUCGUUGUGUCUGAACUUUUUACCACCAUAACAAUCACAACAAACAUCAAAGGUGCUAACUGAAUCAUCAUCAUUGAAGAAACACUGAGAGCAAGUGAAGUAUGCUCCUGCCAAGAACGUCUUACAAGACUGGCAAAUUAUAGCCCUUCCACUCUGCAUGAUGUAGUACAAGACGAUUGCUUCAUCAAAAUCCAAGGUUCCAUUGCCAUCCUUGUCCAGCGCUGUAAACAAGCUUGGAAGAACCGUGUUGUUAUCUUUCUUGAGAUACUCCACGUAUUCAUCUAGGUUAAUUUUCCCGUCUUUGUUUUUGUCCAUUUCAUUGAAAGAAAAUCUGGCAUUUCUCUUCUCCUCAUCGGGCAGAUUCUCAUAAUAAGCUCCAGCAGCCCGGCGAAUCUCCUCCAUAUCUAUUUAUGCGUGUAAUAUUUAAGAGGAAGAAGAUUUAAGAGGAUAACGGAAGAGGUAGCUUAGAUCAACAAUUUUAACACUCCAAAGGGACUUUGGUCUGCAUCUGAUCACAAAGCUCUCAUGUUCGAUAGUGAUUUAUAGUACUGGCAAGUGACCACAAAAUGAAGAAAUAUUAAAGAAUUGAAGUGAAUUUGGGUGUGGAUUAUCAUUGUGAAUUUGUAUGGGACCUUUGGUAUCUUCAAUAAUUUAACUUUCUCACACAACACAUGAA